AUGGUCUUUGUUCUGGGUGGAUCUCUGACUAUUCUAGGUUGCUCCGAUGAGGACAAGCUGCUUCUGCAGUUGGACGGGCCCUCAAGGCUGCUCUGCCUAUUCCUCCUGCUACCCCCACACGUGGGAACACAAAGCCGUCGAUGCAUUGAGGGCUCAGUGUCGUCUCCGCCGGCUGAGCGGCAAGCCGGGGUUGGGCUUGCACACCGUCUAUCAGCACCCUCCCGCGUCUCCAUUCACGGAUCUGCAGUUCUGGGGCUAGGCAACCUUGAAUCCAACGUCCACCUGCAGGCUACAUCUCAGGGGAAAUUGCAAAGCAUAUUAUGA
rnacentral:rRNA from 1 species